UUAUAGAGGCGCGAAGUGCAUCAGUAUUCCAGGGCAAGGACAGGCAUCCGUCCGGAGGAAAGGGAGCUUCGCCGAAGGGCUAUGGUAUGCCUGUGCCAUAGUUGCCUGGGCCGUCGGAGAAGAUCCGCCGGACUGCCACGUAUGUGGAGCGCUAUCGG
rnacentral:ncRNA from 1 species